UCUCCUGGAAAACGGGUGGUAAUACCGGAUGCUCCGCUCCAUCGCAUGGUGGGGUGGGAAAUGCUUUUGCGGCAUGGGAUGGGGUCGCGUCCUAUCAGCUUGUUGGCGGGGUGAUGGCCCACCAAGGCGUUGACGGGUAGCCGGCCUGAGAGGGUGACCGGCCACAUUGGGACUGAGAUACGGCCCAGACUCCUACGGGAGGCAGCAGUGGGGAAUAUUGCACAAUGGGCGCAAGCCUGAUGCAGCGACGCCGCGUGCGGGAUGGAGGCCUUCGGGUUGUAAACCGCUUUUGUUCAAGGGCAAGGCACGGUUUCGGCCGUGUUGAGUGGAUUGUUCGAAUAAGCACCGGCUAACUACGUGCCAGCAGCCGCGGUAAUACGUAGGGUGCGAGCGUUAUCCGGAUUUAUUGGGCGUAAAGGGCUCGUAGGCGGUUCGUCGCGUCCGGUGUGAAAGUCCAUCGCCUAACGGUGGAUCUGCGCCGGGUACGGGCGGGCUGGAGUGCGGUAGGGGAGACUGGAAUUCCCGGUGUAACGGUGGAAUGUGUAGAUAUCGGGAAGAACACCA
rnacentral:rRNA from 1 species